GUAAAAAGGAAGAAUGCAUUGAAUUUGGUCCUUGCCUGUUAGUUGUGUUUGUUUACUUGCUGGUGAAUUAUGCUGACAUUUCCCCCUUGGGAGAACUUGUCUGCUGUACUGCAAGAUGCACUGUUCACCUAUGAACAUUACCUGGCUUGAUGUGUCCGCAGGGCCAGUUUUCUGUAUAUGGAGAGGCCAGAAAUGAAAUAAAAUCACAAAAGAAAGCAAGGAGAAGAAAACAGAGGGAGAGCAUGGAAGGAGCAGACAUCUGGAUUGCCUGUGACUGGGACAAUGUCAUGGAGUCCUCACUGCAGGGACUCUCAUGGGGUCUGGGGACCGCUCACCUGGAGCUGCACAGUGGUACAUGGAGUGGUUGGUGACUUCACCUGCUACAUAUUUUUACACAGAAAUGCUGGAAGAUCUCAGGUUCAAAACGUCCCUGGAGAUGUUCUGCGGAUGCCUGGAGGCUUCUGAGGACACCUUUGUCUUGGUGAAUUUUCAGUUAAGUGCCCUCACAGCAAGCUCAAUGACAGGAACCCAUCCUGACACACAAGCCAAGGCUAAUGCUUUUCAUUGCACACCCCCUGCUUAUGCCGUGGGUGUUCCCAUGUGAGCUCCUGAAGGUAAUCACUGGUAAGUUUGCCUCUACAUCUUACGGCUAUGUGCUUUUUAAAAUGGCAUUUAAUGACCUCUUCUUUAGAAAACCUGCUGUAUUCAAAAGAAGAUCAAGGUGGACUUAAAGAUGCUUAAAGAGGUCACAAAACAGGGAUUUAGUAGCAUAACUGUGUUGUUUAAGCAUGUUUUAGCCCUUCAUUGCGAGCAACUCUGUAGCAGAGUGAACUUUGCUGAAGGUGCCAUUGUAGGUUGCUUGCUUUGGAGCUGUAACUACAGACAAGAAGAUGACUCUGAGGGUAUUACUAAAAUUUUCCUUGAAACACACUCUGGUCUUUUCAUGCAAAGUUUCAUCCAUUAGCUCAGCUUGUAAACUGUUAAGCUCUACGGUUUGCUAAUCUUUUCCCUUCCUUAGCUUUUUGUUUCUUCAAAGUAGUGGUUACAGACUGGAACCUGCAAAGUGCUGAGUGCUGUAUUCCACAUCAAGCAAACCUCUCAAUGUUAAUCAUGCUCCGAAAAAUGCUGCGAGAUUAGAGCUAAAUCUCUGCACAACCCCUGCAUUUCUCCAGCUGGGCGCCUUUUUCAUUCCUGUGAAAGCAAGGCUAUGCAGUUAAGACACUGAGCUUGGGCUGGGGGGAUGUUAAGUCCAGUUUAAUCUGCUACAGACUUCUUUAUUGGUGUCUUAUUUUACAGAAUAGAGAUGAUAAAUAUUUUGUCCUUUUGAUUCUAAACUCUUGGUACGGUAUGUAUUUCUUAGCCUUAUGAGAACAUUAAGACCUUAUUCGCAGAUUUUAUACAGUGCUGUAAAUGACUGCUAUCACCUAUGGGGCAGACAUUUAAGCCCUGGACUGGCUCUGGUGAGGAUUCCUGUUACCCAGCUUUGUAGCAGGAAUGUCUUGGGAGGGCUUCUCUUCCCUGGCUCUGUGCAGCACUGUGCACUUCAAAGCCUUCUACUUUCAGAUAUGUAAAAGAAGAGUAAAUUUCAGAUUGUCUUUACAUUUUCGGAAAGGCAAUGUUUUAGACCUUUUCAAAGAUGAAUUCAAAUAAUGAGUGUUCAUUAUGUCUACAUUUUAAAGUGCCGGUUUCCAGCAUCUGCAUGAGUGAAAGUAUAUCUCACUUUCUGUCUCCACCUUUGUUAGUAAUUGUUGUAAUUGUAGGGUAAUGUCUCAUUUUUUGUAAUUUUGUAUAUUAUCUCUGUACAAUUCUCCCAGUUGAGCUCCAAACUGCCCCUGUGUCAUUCGUUUCAUUAAACAUUAAAUCAAUGUACUUUAAGAAUGCCAAGGUUAGUAAUGUGGCAAAAUAGUAAUCCAUUAAACAUCUGGACAGUAAAUCUACUACCUAUCUCUUUUGAAGAGGUUAUAAUAUGCCAUACAAUUAAUUAUUUGGAGCUUGAAUACACUUAAUUUCUGCAAAGUGCAAAAUAGAACUAUUACAUCUCCAUUAUGAGAAGAAAAGCAACAGCUUUUUAAAGCUUCAAAAUCCUUUUAGCAAUAUCUGAUGUACCUUGUCUACAUGGCACCUUUUAUGAAACAUUUCUGCUUGUAAAGGCAAGCUAUUACCAACUGUCCUGGUAGCAAUGAUUUACCACGUUACCUAUCUGUCUAUCAGCGUAUCUACCUAUGAGUUAGCCUCAAAGCUCUUCACAAACUCUACUUCCUUUUUCAAGCCAAGAGGCAAAAGCCUGAUAAACAUCACAUGAAGCAGCACACUGCUAAACUGAUGAUAGAUGGGUGAAUGCUGCAGGGUGGAAUUGAAUUAACUCUCUGCUGGCUGAUGUUUCUGCAGGCGCUUCCUCACCACCAGCAGAAGUCAGUGGUAAGAGCUCCAAAGACAUCAUUUUGCAAUUGCUUGUGGUACUGCUGGCUGUGCUUACCCUUGUCCCUUUCAUGUUACAUGAGUCUGUGGUUGUUCGAUUCCAUGGUCAUCAGACGAGUAACUAAAUAAAAAUAAUUAAAAAAAAAAAAGAAAAAGCUGA
rnacentral:lncRNA from 1 species